ACCGUACUCCUACGGGAGGCAGCAGUGGGGAAUUUUGCACAAUGGGCGCAAGCCUGAUGCAGCGACGCCGCGUGGGGGAUGACGGCCUUCGGGUUGUAAACUCCUUUCGCUAUCGACGAAGCCACCUUUGGUGGUGACGGUAGGUAGAUAAGAAGCACCGGCUAACUACGUGCCAGCAGCCGCGGUAAUACGUAGGGUGCAAGCGUUGUCCGGAAUUACUGGGCGUAAAGAGCUCGUAGGUGGUUUGUCGCGUCGUCUGUGAAAUCCCGGGGCUUAACUUCGGGCGUGCAGGCGAUACGGGCAUAACUUGAGUGCUGUAGGGGAGACUGGAAUUCCUGGUGUAGCGGUGAAAUGCGCAGAUAUCAGGAGGAACACCGAUGGCGAAGGCAGGUCUCUGGGCAGUAACUGACGCUGAGGAGCGAAAGCAUGGGUAGCGAACAGGAUUAGAAACCCGGGUAGUCCUUGAC
rnacentral:rRNA from 1 species